UUAAAAUCUGGCUCUUUCAGAGUCCGAGUUGUGAGCUUGAAGCGUUGCGUCCCCGACGGACCUUGGGUAUAUCAGCUGGAAAGCUGUCUCAGAGAGGGUGACAAGCCCGUUCAUACCAAGGACGCCCGUUGGAGUCUGGCGCAGCUGCUAUAGAGUCGAGUUGUUUGGGAAUGCAGCUCUAAUUGGGUGGUAAACUCCAUCUAAAGCUAAAUAUUGGCGGAAGACCGAUAGCGAACAAGUACCGUGAGGGAAAGAUGAAAAGCACUUUGGAAAGAGAAUGAAACAGUAUGUGAAAUUGCUGGAAGGGAAACGAUUGAGGUUAGACGUGCUUGGCGUGCCUUCAGCCCUUACGGGUGUACUGGCGCGCCGCAGCAGGCCAGCAUCGGUUUGUUGCGUCGGGUAAAAGGGUGGCAGGGACGUGGCUGUCUUCGGACAGUGUUAUAACCUGCCACUGGAUGCCCGGCGUCAGACCGAGGAUCGCAGGGCG
rnacentral:rRNA from 1 species